AGGAGAAAGAACAAUAUCUCAAGGAGAAACAGAUCAUUAUUGAUGACAAUCUAAAUCUUACUUUGGAAAAGGACAAUGUCAUAGCCAAACUGACAUUACAAGUAGAGGAACAAUCACAAAAUGAGAAACAGAUCAUUACUGACCUUAGAGCUAAAGUGUCUGAUAAUGAAUUGUAUACAACCAAACUAAUGAAGGAGAAGUCACAACUUCAGGAGAGAGUCACAUCCUUAGAGGAACA